CUCUCUCUCUCUCUCUCUUCGCUUUCACUAUCACAAUUCAAAAAUCGAGAUCUAUUUGAGAGGGUAAUGUUUGAGAUCUAUUUGAGAUUUUAGGCUUUGAUUUUCUGGGUUUACACAUAUGGGCUGCUCCCUCUCUGUGCAGGUAAGAGUACUCUUUCUCGGUACUAGUUGUGAGCUGACGUUAUAUUUUUUUUCUAGAGAAAACUGAAAAUCUGAGAGAAAAAUAGAAGACAUGGGAAGAAAGUGAGCUCUAAAGCUCGUUCUUUGACUGUGAUACUCAUUGCAUCUUAUAUUAGCAGGUGGCGGCCUCCUUGCUGACCUGUGGAGCUGGAUAUGAGGAUAAGGUUUUCCGAUUAAUUGAAUUUUUUUUUAUAAUGAAUCAAAACAAGGAGUAUACAAAUUCGUACGUAUUUGUCAAGAGGAAUACUUCGUAUAUGAAGUGAAAUGGCUGGUGUACUUAUCUCAACUAUAUCAAUACUAUUGUGUGGAACACAAGUUCCAGCAAAAAUUUGGUUGUCAUCGGGUU